GAGAGGCCCAAGAUGGAGACCGUCAACCACCCAGAACCGGUUCCAACCUGACCAGUGUAGAUGAUCUCAACACUGCCUUACUCUCUCAAGGCUGCAUGCAUCCUUGGAAAAGCUCCUCACUCAGAAAGAAUACAUGGGUCAUGCAGCCCAGGGACAAAGGGAAAGCAAGAGGCACCUCAAACUUCUUCCCGCUGGCAGUUCAGCCAGAGCUCACGUAGUCUUCACGGCCUCCUUCAACAAAAUAAAGCACAGUGCUUAUUAUAAAACAGUCACUCAGCUUGUGUUCAACUCUUUGAGACCCCAUGGACUGUAGCACUCCAGGCUCUUCCGUCCAUGGAGUUUUUCAGACAAGAAUACUGGAGUGCGUUGCCAUUUCCUUCACCAUGGGAUCUUCGGACCCAGGGAUCGAACUCUCAUUUCUGACAUCUCCCCUCAUUGGCAGGCGGCAUCUUUACCACUGAGACACCUGGGAAGCCCAAUGAUAUAGUAAUUAGACUUAAUGAAAUGCAGUUUAAUUGGAAGAAAACAGCUUUUUUAAUAUCAAAUACUUUGUUCUAUAAAAUGUAAAAUUAAUAUAGCACGUAAAAUUCAUAGCUGGAGACCUAGAAAACAGGUAAAGAUCAAUAAGUAGUGAAGAAAACAACUAUAAUAAUACCAUUAUCAUGUUUCUGUCUGUGGAUAAGAAAAUAAAACAGAUGGCAAUAUAACAUAAAUUGUUACACUAGUAUUAGAAAGCAUUUCCUUCUUUCUUUUUAAAAUUAGCAUUGUAAUGUAGGUUUUCACUCAUUAAAAGAGUCAUUUUCAUUACUCUGUAUUUGUGUUAAUUCUACUUAAGUCAUAGAUCAGUAUGUGCUCUCUUUUAGCACUGUGUUUUUAUAGAUUUAUUCUUAAAGUUUAUUUUACCUAAAUAUUUAUUAUAAAUGCAUGUUUUUACAUUAAUUUAAAAACAAGAUAAUAGAAAAAUGCUUGUAAGUCUGUAAGAGAAAUAAGUAGAAAUAACUACUUCUUAUACAUUGCUGAAUAACUAUUUUAAAAUCUGUAACUAUUGCAAUUAUUUAUUGAUUAAAAACUAUUAUAUAAAUGAAACCCAAUUGGAGUAUAUCACAUGUCUGAGUGGAAAAUAAUUAAUACAGUUCCAAGAACAUAAUACUGAAUAUUUGUCUAGCCAAAUCUGACAAUAUUGAUAGAAUGGGCUAAUGGAAAGCAUGUUUAUGGGCUAUGUGUAUUGUGUAUCUCUGUGUAUACAGGAUGUAAGAAAACUAAAUCUUCAUUUUUCAUAGUAAGAUGCCAAAUGAUAUCCCAAAACUAAAGUGUUUGUGUUAAAAGACACAUUGCCUGGAAAAUAGUGAGCUAAAUAUAGUAGGGAUUGGAGGUAGGGUACAUCUGAAAGAUGAAAAAGUGGUUGCCACUGUGAAAUGAACACAAGAGAGACAGUCAGGCAUUCAUUGCUAUAGAAAAACAUUCAUACUUUGUGGUUAAGUGAAGUUAAGACCAAUUAAAUAUUUUCAGUUCAAUAUAUUUGUUUGAUUAUCUGCCUCACUUUACAAGUAUGAAUGGUUUUCCAUAGCAAUGAAUGCCUGGGUGUGUUAAAUUCAGAUUGCAUAAACAGUUUAUUAUUAUAAAUAUAGCUGGAAUGAUUGUUCCUGAAAAAAUAUGAUGUAUACAUACAUAGUAUUCUCAUAUCUCUUGACAAGUUAUUUAAAGUGCUGCUUUAAAUAACUGCUGCUGCUAAGUCGCUUCAGUCGUGUCCGACUCUGUGCGACCCCAUGGACUGCAGCCUACCAGGCUUCUC
ensembl:lncRNA